rnacentral:rRNA from 1 species
AUGGUUGGACGAAAUAUUAACUGUUUCAUUUAAAUUUUUUAUAGAAUUUUAUUUUUUAGUCAAAAAGCUAAAAUAAAUUUAAAAGACGAGAAGACCCUAUAAAUCUUUAUAUUUUAUUUAUUUUAAUUAUAAAGAUUAUUUUAAUUUUAAUAAAAUAAAAUAUUUUAUUGGGGUGAUAUUAAAAUUUAAAAAACUUUUAAUUUAUAAGAACAUUAAUUUAUGAAUUGUUGAUCCAUUAAUAAUGAUUAAAAAAUUAAGUUACUUUAGGGAUAACAGCGUAAUUUUUUUGGAGAGUUCAUAUCGAUAAAAAAGAUUGCGACCUCGAUGUUGGAUUAAGAUAUAAUUUUGGGUGUAGCCGUUCAAAUUUUAAGUCUGUUCGACUUUUAAAUUCUUACAUGAUCUGAGUUCAAACCGGUGUAAGCCAGGUUGGUUUCUAUCUUUAAAAAAUUAUAAUAUUUUAGUACGAAAGGACCAAAUAUUAGAAUAAUUAUAUUUUUUAUUAUGAAUAUUAUUAAUAU